rnacentral:lncRNA from 1 species
GUUUGGAUCUAAGUGCGUUUCAGUGAUUGUUACAAUAUCAAACUCUUCUGCGAAAUUUUGAAUGAAAUCAAUCUUAUUUCGUAAACUACGAAUGUUAAUAUUGCAUAUUGAUAUGGAGUUAUCAGUUUCACGAGAAAAAUCGUUUUCAUGUUCAAUUGGGCCAGGAUUUUGUUCAACGCUUCCAAUUAUAAGGAUAAAAUGUAAAACAAAUAGAAGGAAUAAAACAUUUAUGUUUGGAUCAAGGCUUUGGAGAAGCGACAAGGAGACGACGAGAAAUGAACAACGACAAUUGGUAAGUAGAAUUUCCGAAAAAGUUUCUCCGUUGAAACAAAAAUUAUCUGAUUCGGAAAAAUUAAAUUUACAUGAAUUAAAUAACCC